rnacentral:rRNA from 1 species
UAAGGAAUAUUGGUCAAUGGACGCAAGUCUGAACCAGCCAUGCCGCGUGGAGGAUGAAGGUCCUCUGGAUUGUAAACUUCUUUUAUCUGGGAAGAAAUGUGGAUUUUCUAAUCUAUUUGACGGUACCAGAUGAAUAAGCACCGGCUAACUCCGUGCCAGCAGCCGCGGUAAUACGGAGGGUGCAAGCGUUAUCCGGAUUCACUGGGUUUAAAGGGUGCGUAGGCGGAUUUGUAAGUCCGUGGUGAAAUCUCCGAGCUUAACUCGGAAACUGCCAUGGAUACUAUAAGUCUUGAAUGUUGUGGAGGUUUGCGGAAUAUGUCAUGUAGCGGUGAAAUGCUUAGAUAUGACAUAGAACACCGAUUGCGAAGGCAGCAGGCUACACAAAUAUUGACGCUGAGGCACGAAAGCGUGGGGAUCAAACAGG